rnacentral:rRNA from 1 species
UACGGGGGGGGCAAGCGUUGUUCGGAAUUACUGGGCGUAAAGGGCUCGUAGGCGGCCAACUAAGUCAGACGUGAAAUCCCUCGGCUUAACCGGGGAACUGCGUCCGAUACUGGUGGGCUUGAAUCCGGGAGAGGGAUGUGGAAUUCCAGGUGUAGCGGUGAAAUGCGUAGAUAUCUGGAGGAACACCGGUGGCGAAGGCGGCAUCCUGGACCAGCACUGACACUGAGGCACGAAAGCGUGGGGAGCAAACAGG